rnacentral:rRNA from 1 species
GACAGAGGUGCCAAGCGUUAGGCGGAAUCACUGGGCGUAAAGGGUGCGUAGGCGGCCGGGUAAGUCUGAUGUGAAAUCCCGCAGCUUAACUGCGGAACUGCAUCGGAUACUCUCCGGCUAGAGGAAUGGAGGGGAGACUGGAAUUCUCGGUGUAGCAGUGAAAUGCGUAGAUAUCGAGAGGAACACCAGUGGCGAAGGCGAGUCUCUGGACAUUUCCUAACGCUGAGGCACGAAAGCCAGGGGAGCAAACGGG